rnacentral:ncRNA from 10 species
GUAUUGCAUAAUGAACGUUUUUAAACGUACCAACCGACAUCUCAUUGCACGGUGGUUUUGAAUGUGGGUGUCUCUGCCAAAAUUAUGAGAAAU